rnacentral:rRNA from 1 species
UACGUAGGGGGCAAGCGUUGUCCGGAAUUAUUGGGCGUAAAGAGCUCGUAGGCGGUCUGUUGCGUCCGCUGUGAAAACCCGGGGCUUAACCCUGGGCUGGCAGUGGAUACGGACAGACUAGAGGUAGGUAGGGGAGAAUGGAAUUCCCGGUGUAGCGGUGAAAUGCGCAGAUAUCGGGAGGAACACCGGUGGCGAAGGCG